GAUGAACGCUAGCUACAGGCUUAACACAUGCAAGUCGAGGGGCAGCAGGAUCUAGCAAUAGAUUGCCGGCGACCGGCGCACGGGUGAGUAACACGUAUCCAACCUGCCGAUAACUCGGGGAUAGCCUUUCGAAAGAAAGAUUAAUACCCGAUGGUAUAAUCAGACCGCAUGGUUUGAUUAUUAAAGAAUUUCGGUUAUCGAUGGGGAUGCGUUCCAUUAGGCAGUUGGUGAGGUAACGGCUCACCAAACCUUCGAUGGAUAGGGGUUCUGAGAGGAAGGUCCCCCACAUUGGAACUGAGACACGGUCCAAACUCCUACGGGAGGCAGCAGUGAGGAAUAUUGGUCAAUGGACGCGAGUCUGAACCAGCCAAGUAGCGUGAAGGAUGACUGCCCUAUGGGUUGUAAACUUCUUUUAUAUGGGAAUAAAGUUUUCCACGUGUGGAAUUUUGUAUGUACCAUAUGAAUAAGGAUCGGCUAACUCCGUGCCAGCAGCCGCGGUAAUACGGAGGAUCCGAGCGUUAUCCGGAUUUAUUGGGUUUAAAGGGAGCGUAGGUGGACAGUUAAGUCAGUUGUGAAAGUUUGCGGCUCAACCGUAAAAUUGCAGUUGAUACUGGCUGUCUUGAGUACAGUAGAGGUGGGCGGAAUUCGUGGUGUAGCGGUGAAAUGCUUAGAUAUCACGAAGAACUCCGAUUGCGAAGGCAGCUCACUGGACUGCAACUGACACUGAUGCUCGAAAGUGUGGGUAUCAAACAGGAUUAGAUACCCUGGUAGUCCACACAGUAAACGAUGAAUACUCGCUGUUUGCGAUAUACAGUAAGCGGCCAAGCGAAAGCAUUAAGUAUUCCACCUGGGGAGUACGCCGGCAACGGUGAAACUCAAAGGAAUUGACGGGGGCCCGCACAAGCGGAGGAACAUGUGGUUUAAUUCGAUGAUACGCGAGGAACCUUACCCGGGCUUAAAUUGCAUUUGAAUAAUCUGGAAACAGGUUAGCCGCAAGGCAAAUGUGAAGGUGCUGCAUGGUUGUCGUCAGCUCGUGCCGUGAGGUGUCGGCUUAAGUGCCAUAACGAGCGCAACCCUUAUCUUUAGUUACUAACAGGUCAUGCUGAGGACUCUAGAGAGACUGCCGUCGUAAGAUGUGAGGAAGGUGGGGAUGACGUCAAAUCAGCACGGCCCUUACGUCCGGGGCUACACACGUGUUACAAUGGGGGGUACAGAAGGCAGCUACCUGGUGACAGGAUGCUAAUCCCAAAAGCCUCUCUCAGUUCGGAUCGAAGUCUGCAACCCGACUUCGUGAAGCUGGAUUCGCUAGUAAUCGCGCAUCAGCCAUGGCGCGGUGAAUACGUUCCCGGGCCU
rnacentral:rRNA from 1 species